rnacentral:lncRNA from 1 species
GGGGUUGCAUAGAUAAAAAGAAGAUUACUAAUUUAGGUUACAGAAAUAUAAAUUCCCCAUGAGAAAAAACCAUUUAAACCGAAUGAAUCAUUUGCCAUGCAGCUUCGACACGUCUUCUUACUAUAAGCGCGCUUGGUUCCAAUGAUGUGCUGUUGUUGCUAUUCAAGCUUGAAUUACCAUGGAAACCUUUAUAUACUCGAGGACAAAAAAAAAAAAAGAAAAGGAAAUUUACUAGCUCUUGUCCAGCUACUUGAUUGACCUAACCAAGGAAGACUUGCAACGUCAAUUAACCCAUUAAAGGAAAAGUGUCUGCCGCAGGAAUUAGAUUGUCAUUUGCAGCAGAA